rnacentral:lncRNA from 1 species
UGGAUCUCGCGGCUCGCUAGUCCCGCGUCACCCUCAAUCUGACGCUGGAGUCGACGCAGCUCCGAGGAUUUGGCCUGCCUGGCCUUCUUUUCCUUAAGCAAGGAACUCGCCGUCUUCCCAAGGUCCCUCUCGAGCUCUCCUAUCGCGACCUCGAGUUUCGACACUUUCGCAGAGUGAGAGUCCUUGACAGCCGUCAGCAUGGUCUUGGUU